GAUGAACGCUGGCGGCGUGCUUAACACAUGCAAGUCGAACGGGAAUUAUUUUAUUGAAACUUCGGUCGAUUUAAUUUAAUUCUAGUGGCGGACGGGUGAGUAACGCGUGGGUAACCUGCCUUAUACAGGGGGAUAACAGUCAGAAAUGGCUGCUAAUACCGCAUAAGCGCACAGAGCUGCAUGGCUCAGUGUGAAAAACUCCGGUGGUAUAAGAUGGACCCGCGUUGGAUUAGCUUGUUGGCAGGGUAACGGCCUACCAAGGCGACGAUCCAUAGCCGGCCUGAGAGGGGGAACGGCGACAUUGGGACGGAGACACGGCCCAGACUCCUACGGGAGGAAGCAGUGGGGAAUAGUGCACAAUGGGGGAAACCCUGAUGCAGCGACGACGCGUGAAGGAAGAAGUAUCUCGGUAUGAAAACUUCUAUCAGCAGGGAAGAUAGUGACGGUACCUGACUAAGAAGCCCCGGCUAACUACGUG
rnacentral:rRNA from 1 species